UCGUCGAGGAUCUGCGGGCAGAUCAGGUGGACGUGGGAGUCGACGGCGCCCGCCGUGACGAUCUUGCCGUUGGCGGCGAGGAUCUCGGUGGACGGGCCGAUCACCAGGUCCGGGUGGACGCCGUCCAUGGUGUCGGGGUUGCCGGCCUUGCCGAUGGCGGCGAUCCGGCCGUCCCGCACGCCGAUGUCGGCCUUGACCACGCCCCAGUGGUCGAUUAUCACCGCGCCGGUGACGACCAGGUCGGCCGCGCCCUCGGCCCUCGUGGUGCGCGCCUGCCCCAUCGACUCGCGGAUGA
rnacentral:sRNA from 1 species